UACGUAGGGGGCAAGCGUUGUCCGGAUUUAUUGGGCGUAAAGCGCGUGUAGGCGGCCUGACAAGUCUGCUGUGAAAACUCGAGGCUCAACCUCGAGAUGUCGGCGGAAACUGUCUGGCUAGAGUCCGGAAGAGGAGAGUGGAAUUCCUGGUGUAGCGGUGAAAUGCGCAGAUAUCAGGAAGAACACCUAUGGCGAAGGCGGCUACCUGGACCGGUUCUGACGCUGAGGCGCGAAAGCGUGGGUAGCAAACAGG
rnacentral:rRNA from 1 species